rnacentral:rRNA from 1 species
GAUGAACGCUGGCGGCGUGCCUAAUACAUGCAAGUCGAGCGAACAGACGAGGAGCUUGCUCCUCUGACGUUAGCGGCGGACGGGUGAGUAACACGUGGAUAACCUACCUAUAAGACUGGGAUAACUUCGGGAAACCGGAGCUAAUACCGGAUAAUAUAUUGAACCGCAUGGUUCAAUAGUGAAAGACGGUUUUGCUGUCACUUAUAGAUGGAUCCGCGCCGCAUUAGCUAGUUGGUAAGGUAACGGCUUACCAAGGCGACGAUGCGUAGCCGACCUGAGAGGGUGAUCGGCCACACUGGAACUGAGACACGGUCCAGACUCCUACGGGAGGCAGCAGUAGGGAAUCUUCCGCAAUGGGCGCAAGCCUGACGGAGCCACGCCGCGUGAGUGAUGAAGGUCUUCGGGUCGUAAAACUCUGUUAUUAGGGAAGAACAAAUGUGUAAGUAACUAUGCACGUCUUGACGGUACCUAAUCAGAAAGCCACGGCUAACUACGUG